GCAGAGAAAGAACCUAUUAGAAAGCGAUCAUCGCUGUGGAAAUCACAAUUAUCACCUUCCUAUUCUUCAUCAUCAUCUUCGAUUAGAGAGAUUCCAGAAGAAGAAUAUGAAGAGAAACCAGUAUCCGCAAUCGCAUCAGUGGCAGCAGGCUGCCCAGUUUGCUUAUCUUACGUUUUGAUAAUGAAAAGCAACCCAAUGUGUCCCAGGUGCAAUUCUGUUGUUCCAGUGCCAAUGUUGAAAAAGCCUCGCAUCGAUCUCAACAUUUCAAUAUGAGAUAGAUUAGAGAGAUUUAAUGUUUGUGAUUUUGUAUAUGAUAGGUGCAAUUUAGGUGCUUAUAGAAUAGAAAUUGUAAGCAAAGAAGAGAUAAAAAAUUACCUAUCUUCUAUGGGGAUAAAAGCCAUUAAAAAUAAUAAUAAUUUAUCUCUUCUUUGCUUACAAUUUCUAU
rnacentral:misc_RNA from 1 species